UACGUAGGAGACGAGCGUUGUCCGGAGUUACUGGGCGUAAAGGGUGCGCAGGUGGCGGCGCGCGUGGGGGGUGAAAUCGCCCGGCUUAACUGGGCGGGGGCCUUCCAGACGGCGUGGCUUGAGCAGCGGAGGGGGACGUGGAAUUCCGGGUGGAGCGGUGAAAUGCGUAGAGAUCGGGAGGAACACCAGUGGCGAAGGCGGCUACCUGGACCAGCACUGACACUGAGGCACGAAAGCGUGGGGAGCAAACAGG
rnacentral:rRNA from 1 species